CCUACGGGAGGCUGCAGUGGGGAAUAUUGGACAAUGGGGGAAACCCUGAUCCAGCCAUGCCGCGUGAGUGAUGAAGGCCUUAGGGUUGUAAAGCUCUUUUAGCAGGGAAGAUGAUGACGGUACCUGCAGAAUAAGCACCGGCUAACUUCGUGCCAGCAGCCGCGGUAAUACGAAGGGUGCUAGCGUUGUUCGGAAUCACUGGGCGUAAAGCGUGCGUAGGCGGCUAUGCAAGUCAGAGGUGAAAUGCCGGGGCUUAACCCCGGAACUGCCUUUGA
rnacentral:rRNA from 1 species